UACAGAGGGUGCGAGCGUUGUCCGGAAUCACUGGGCGUAAAGGGCGCGUAGGCGGCUCGGUAAGCGUGCGGUGAAAGCCCGGGGCUCAACCCCGGGUCGGCCGUGCGAACUGCGGAGCUGGAGCACUGUAGAGGCAGGUGGAAUUCCGGGUGUAGCGGUGGAAUGCGUAGAGAUCCGGAAGAACACCGGUAGCGAAGGCGGCCUGCUGGGCAGUUGCUGACGCUGAGGCGCGACAGCGUGGGGAGCAAACAGG
rnacentral:rRNA from 1 species